UACGGAGGGUGCAAGCGUUAAUCGGAAUUACUGGGCGUAAAGCGUGCGCAGGCGGUUUGUUAAGUCCGCUGUGAAAUCCCCGAGCUCAACUUGGGAAUUGCAGUGGAUACUGGCAAGCUGGAGUAUGGUAGAGGAAGGUGGAAUUCCCGGUGUAGCAGUGAAAUGCGUAGAGAUCGGGAGGAACACCAGUGGCGAAGGCGGCUCACUGGCUCGUAACUGACGCUCAGGCGCGACAGCGUGGGGAUCAAACAGG
rnacentral:rRNA from 1 species